rnacentral:rRNA from 1 species
AUACGAAGGGGGCUAGCGUUGCUCGGAAUGACUGGGCGUAAAGGGCGUGUAGGCGGUUUACACAGUCAGAUGUGAAUAAACCCCGGGCUUAACCUGGGAGCUGCAUUUGAUACGUGUAGACUAGAGUGUGAGAGGGGUUGUGGAAUUCCCAGUGUAGAGGUGAAAUUCGUAGAUAUUGGGAAGAACACCGGUGGCGAAGGCGGCAACCUGGCUCAUGACUGACGCUGAGGCGCGAAAGCGUGGGGAGC